CUCUGUUCCAAUGGAAGAUCGGCGGAGAAAGCACGGGGGAGGGUCGUCGGAGAGGGAAUCUAAGCAUUUUCUGAAAGUCAUACUUCCCUCUGCUAUUCAUGCUAACCAAAUGAGAAUUCCUGAGGAAUUUAUAAAGAGAUUUGGAGAUGAACUAUCAACUGUUGCUACAAUUACUGUUCCUGAUGGUCGUGUUUGGAAAAUGAGGUUGAAGAAAUAUGGUAAAGAUGUUUUCUUUGGCAGCACAUGGCGAGAGUUUGUAAACUACUAUUCUCUAGGGUAUGGUUCCCAC
rnacentral:sRNA from 1 species